GAUGAGACAGACCGUCUCACUAAGACUGUUUGCUCGCCAUAUAGAGCAGAUGGUAAGUAAUUUCUAUUUAGUAUAUUUUAAGUAUUUAACUAUUUGAAUUUUUUUUAAAUUAUUCUCAAGUUGCAGAAAGAUGUAGAGAGUGAUGAGUUUUCUGAUUGGAUCGAAAUCUACCAGUGGACCCAUCAGCGAUGGUUAGGGGAGUGG
rnacentral:lncRNA from 1 species